rnacentral:rRNA from 1 species
AUUGAACGCUGGCGGCAUGCCUAACACAUGCAAGUCGAACGGCAGCACAGUCUAGCUUGCUAGACGGGUGGCGAGUGGCGAACGGGUGAGUAACGCGUAGGAAUAUACCUUGAAGUGGGGGACAACCUGGGGAAACUCAGGCUAAUACCGCGUAAUCUCUUCGGAGGGAAGCUGGGGACCGCAAGGCCUGGCGCUUUAAGAUUAGCCUGCGUCCGAUUAGCUAGUUGGUGGGGUAAAGGCCUACCAAGGCGACGAUCGGUAGCUGGGCUGAGAGGAGGAUCAGCCACACUGGGACGGAGACACGGCCCAGACUCCUACGGGAGGCAGCAGUGGGGAAUAUUGGACAAUGGGGGGAACCCUGAUCCAGCAAUGCCGCGUGUGUGAAGAAGGCCUGAGGGUUGUAAAGCACUUUCGGCGGGGAGGAGGAUGAGUUGGUUAAGAGCUGACUUAUUGGACGUUACCCGCAUAAGAAGCACCGGCUAACUCCGUGCCAGCAGCCGCAGUAAAAC